AUUCAAUGUUUGUUUUUGUAUUGAUUAAUACCAAGCAACAGAACACCACAUGCAAACAUAUUUGACAAGUAGGAAAUAUUUAGUUUAACUUUUUCAUGUGACUUUGUUUACAACACUGACUUGCUAUCAACACAAACACUCCACAGUUAUCUGAACUUGUGUUGUCUGGUGUCUGGGAAUGCCCCGAGAUAUAUCUAUAUAUUUACAUUUAGAUUUAGCAGACGCUUUUAUCCAAAGUGACUUACAGAGAGUUCAGGGAGCAAUAAAGCGAUACAUUAUAUAUAUAUAUAUUUUACACACACACACACACACACACACACACACACACUAAUGAAGUGAAAUCAUCAAAAGCUGGUAAGGCCUACAAUGCUUAUGGCUGCUGCUUACUGUAUUGUCAUCACAGCUGCACUCCCUCCAUGUCCCAGGAUUUAAGUGUUGUGCUAGUCGUCUUAAAAGUAUAAUAUUAAAUGAAACAUUACAUAAUACUAAUUAUUUAGUAUUAUGUAAUGUUUCAUUUAAUAUUAUACUUAAAAAAAAAAACGUUUAAAAAAAUGUAAAAGCUCUGAUAUUUUAAAGCCUUCAUUUGUUUAAGGGCUUUUUUAAACAUAUUUAAAAAGAAACCAUGCCAUUUAAAAUGUGAACGCGUAUCACAAAAUGUUAUAAUGUUUUUUAAUGACAUCCUCUGUGACUUUGACAAAGUCAGCACUGUAAUAAAAAUCGGUAAACAAAAAGACACAAUUGUAAAGACACCAUAAAUAUGCUCAUUCACUUAGUACCAUUGAAAUCGAAUCCGAUCCCUGUGUUGUUUGAACAUGUUCAUAUACGGAAGUAAACAAACUACGUCUGUAUGGCGCAUGCGGUUUAAAGGCAUGCAGUAUGUCAUGUUGCGCAUGCGCACUUAUACAUGCAUGACGUCGAAAUGCAUGACGUCACCGUGCUACAGUCUGCAGCGGGGACUACUUGCGGUUUUCGGCAAGCCUUGCCAAAAUCAACUCCCCCCCCCAAAUCUCACGGUUUGCAAUGUCAGAGUAGGCCUCAUCGACGCGACGUCAUAUUUUUGCGUCGACGCUUCGCCACACACACGUGGGAGACCAAAACAUUGCAGAAUGGAGGAGGAAACAGCAACCUCCUCACAUAAUUCCGAACAAAGCCCCAAUAAAAGAAAAAAAUCCUAAAAAAACAGCUCGCCCUAAAUCUUCGAAGGUAUGGGAAUAUUUCAAAUUUAGUCCCAAACGUAAAGGUGACGUUAUUUACGCUCUUUGCCAAAUCGAGUUGGCAUACCACACCAGCACAACGGCAAUUCUGGAGCAUCUGAAACGGAGGCACCCCAUUGUCACUGGUGAAGGAGACAAUAACAAAUGUCAGUUCGUUGGUUAACUUAUGUCACUGGCUUGCGACUGACACUGUCCCAUUGAACCCCUUCGAGUUAGACAUGCAUGCUGUGGUUCUAGUGGAGCAGAGAGUGCGACAGGACGACCAAUUUAAUCAAUCUGGUGGCAAGAAGGUAUGCAUUGGAAGUGUAAGUACUGUUCUUUUAACUGUGAAAAAUGAUCACAGCUAUUUAAACAUUAUAGACUGAAACAUGGUAGGUAUGCUAGAAAUGAGCCAUUUCCAUGUUUGCAUCAGGAAUGUCUAUGCACUUUUAAAUCAUUUAACUUAUCUAACUUUCACACCAAACUUUCUGGUCAGCAGCCAAGUGACGCACGCACCAGUUACGUUUUGCUGUCUGUCUUGUGGGU